GGGUAGCUCAGUUGGUUAGAACCUGGUGCUGAUAAUGCCAAGGUUGCAGGUUCAAUCACCGUAUGGGACA
rnacentral:tRNA from 1 species